rnacentral:tRNA from 1 species
CUGGUUAGAGCGCCACGUUCACACCGUGGAGGUCAGCGGUUCAAGUCCGCUAGCGCCUA